UACAGAGGUCCCGAGCGUUGUUCGGAUUCACUGGGCGUAAAGGGUGCGUAGGCGGUUCUGAAAGUCUGAUGUGAAAUCUCCAGGCCCAACCUGGAAACGGCAUUAGAAACUACAGGGCUAGAGGCUUGGAGGGGGAACUGGAAUGCUCGGUGUAGCAGUGAAAUGCGUAGAGAUCGAGCGGAACACCAGUGGCGAAGGCGGGUCUCUGGGCCGAUACUGACGCUGAGGAACGAAAGCGUGGGGAGCGAACAGG
rnacentral:rRNA from 1 species